UGCUGCGAAACAGUUGGAAUGAAGAGAAAAGCAAGGCUGCUGAUCGUUCUACACUGCCCAAACAGUGUUCCAAAUUGAUUCACAGAAUCAAGACAGAAGCAAGAUUGGUCAUAGGUCUAGACUUGCCCAACAGUGUUCGAAAGGGAUUCACUGGACGAUUACAAUUCUACCCUGAAUGCUUUGAUAUAUAAGCAAAACGUCCAGCUUUCUUUUGUUUCCGGAACCCUCUAUGAAUAUCAGCCUUUCAAUCUGCCGACAUCAGAAAUAUCCAUCAGCGCCAACACCUAUCAGAGCUUGGAAGUUACUGAUUCGGCGAAGCACAAGUAAAAGGCUUUGAAUCUGGGUUUAUUUGAGGGUCCCUACUCACAAAAGUUGCUCUCUAGCUAUGUCUAAAUGAAUAAAGAACAAACUGACAGAGAUCAUUUUCUCAAUUUCAUGGCAAUCAAAUACAAAAUACAUGAAAACUCCAUGACUAAUAGUACUUUGUGUUUUGUAUCCAGUAUUUUGUGUUCUGAAGUGCGUCAGUUUCUAACAAGAAGAUUCGGUUGGUUUGCUUUAUUCCUGUAGUGUAUCAAGAGAAAGAGAAGAAGACACGUAAUAAAUCUGAGUUUGGCUUGGAGGCUUUGUUUGCUUGAUCUUUAAUAGCUAUAUUGAUUUCAGUUGAAUUAUUUACUAAUCUUUAAUAUUGUCAUCAAGGCAUAAGCGAUGGAGGAACUUUCCAAGAAUCUUAAGAAAUAAUUGAACAAACAAACCAACAUAUCGUAAACAUAGACACAGCAAGAUGCUUCGAUAGGGGAAAUUGAAGCAAAUGAGAAACAUAGAUACCAGCUCCAACUUGAGAAGGUCAUUAGUAACAAUGGCAACAAAACUAUGAAAGUCUUUGCUUACAAGGUAUGUGCAAUUGCAGAUGGUACUGUAUUCACGCUUUCACUGACCAAUUGUGAAAAGAAAACUAUGACAAAUUGAAGUUGGAGAUUGUCAAGAGAAACAGUAUGAAGCUGUUAAGAUUAACUUUCAAUUCAAGCUUUCCAAAACAACAAGCUUGCAAUACAAGAAAAGAUUAGCAAUGAAAUUACAAGCUGUUUCAAGGUGUUGGAGUGUGAAGAAGACUGCUGCAAGUGAGAGAACAACAAGCUUGCAAUACAAGAAAAGAAUGAAAUUACAAGCUGUUUCAAGGUGUUGGAGUGUGAGAAGAAGACUGCUGAAAGUGACCUUGAAACACCUUCUAAUUUCAUCACACUGAAUUCAAAUUAUAUUGUAAAUAUUAUCAUAAACUUUCAAUUCUAUAGAGAAAUUUGUGUUAAUUGAUUGUUUAAGAUUAAGGAUCCUAUCCUUAAUAUUAUGUUCAUCAAAGUUUCUUCAUUUAGAAUGGUUUCAAUUGUUA